CGGCGGCCGUAACUAUAACGGUCCUAAGGUAGCGAAAUUCCUUGUCGGGUAAGUUCCGACCUGCACGAAUGGCGUAAUCAUGGCCACACUGUCUCCACCCGAGACUCAGUGAAAUUGAAAUUGCGGUUAAGAUGCCGUAUACCCGCGGCUAGACGGAAAGACCCCGUGAACCUUUACUAUAGCUUGACAGUGAACAUUGCUCCUACAUGUGUAGGAUAGGUGGGAGGCUUUGAAGAUGCGUCGCCAGAUGUGUUGGAGCCAACCUUGAAAUACCACCCUUGUAUGCGUGAUGUUCUAACCUAGGGCCCUAAUCGGGCUUGGGGACACUGUCUGGUGGGUAGUUUGACUGGGGCGGUCUCCUCCCAAAGAGUAACGGAGGAGCACGAAGGUUGGCUAAGUACGGUCGGACAUCGUACGGUUAGUGCAAUGGCAUAAGCCAGCUUAACUGCGAGACAGACACGUCGAGCAGGUACGAAAGUAGGUCAUAGUGAUCCGGUGGUUCUGUAUGGAAGGGCCAUCGCUCAACGGAUAAAAGGUACUCCGGGGAUAACAGGCUGAUACCGCCCAAGAGUUCAUAUCGACGGCGGUGUUUGGCACCUCGAUGUCGGCUCAUCACAUCCUGGGGCUGAAGUCGGUCCCAAGGGUAUGGCUGUUCGCCAUUUAAAGUGGUACGCGAGCUGGGUUUAGAACGUCGUGAGACAGUUCGGUCCCUAUCUGCCGUGGGCGUUUGAGAAUUGAAGAGGGCUGCUCCUAGUACGAGAGGACCGGAGUGGACGAACCGCUGGUGUUCGGGUUGUUAUGCCAAUAGCAUUGCCCGGUAGCUACGUUCGGAACUGAUAACCGCUGAAAGCAUCUAAGCGGGAAACAGGCUUUGAGAUGAGUUCUCACUGGAGCUUUAAGCUCCCUAAAGGGUCGUUGGAGACUACAACGUUGAUAGGUCAGGUGUGUAAGGGUUGUGAGGCCUUGAGCUAACUGAUACUAAUUGCCCGUGAGGCUUAACCAU
rnacentral:rRNA from 1 species